rnacentral:rRNA from 1 species
UACGGAGGGUGCAAGCGUUAUCCGGAUUUAUUGGGUUUAAAGGGUCCGUAGGCGGAUCUGUAAGUCAGUGGUGAAAUCUCACAGCUUAACUGUGAAACUGCCAUUGAUACGGCAGGUCUUGAGUGUUAUUGAAGUAGCUGGAAUAAGUAGUGUAGCGGUGAAAUGCAUAGAUAUUACUUAGAACACCAAUUGCGAAGGCAGGUUACUAAGCAACAACUGACGCUGAUGGACGAAAGCGUGGGGAGCGAACAGG